CUUCUACUUUACAAAAGUCUAAUAUCUUUUCCUUGUUAGCAAAUGGAGUCGUUACAGAAUUAUGCAUGGGGAAGCUGAAGCCAACACAUUUUCUUGGGAUAGGACUGAACUAUAAAAGAGCUGCUUCAAGAGGACAUCACCAAACUGAAAGACAGAGGCGAAAUUUUUCCUUGACGUCUUCAUGCUGGUGAGCCCCAAGGUUGGUUAUUAGGAGAAACUUCUCAGAAAGAGUGGUGAUGCAAUGGCACAGGCUGCACAGGGAGGUGGUGGGGUCACUGUCCCUGGAGGUGUUCAAGGAAUAUGGGGGUUUGG